AACGAACGCUGGCGGCAUGCCUAACACAUGCAAGUCGAACGAGACCUUCGGGUCUAGUGGCGCACGGGUGCGUAACGCGUGGGAACCUGCCCUUAGGUUCGGAAUAACUCCCCGAAAGGGGUGCUAAUACCGGAUAAUGUCUUCGGACCAAAGAUUUAUCGCCUUUGGAUGGGCCCGCGUUGGAUUAGCUAGUUGGUAGGGUAAAAGCCUACCAAGGCGACGAUCCAUAGCUGGUCUGAGAGGAUGAUCAGCCACACUGGGACUGAGACACGGCCCAGACUCCUACGGGAGGCAGCAGUGGGGAAUAUUGGACAAUGGGCGAAAGCCUAAUCCAGCAAUGCCGCGUGAGUGAUGAAGGCCUUAGGGUUGUAAAGCUCUUUUACCCGGGAUUAUAAUGACAGUACCGGGAGAAUAAGCUCCGGCUAACUCCGUG
rnacentral:rRNA from 1 species